AGGUAAUUAUUUACACAUGACGAUCUGACCCAAUUAUUUGCACAUGCCAAUCUGACUUAAUUAUUUGCACAUGUUGAUUUGAGAUAAUUAUUUGAGCGGCGUCUUCUCUCUACUCUUUUUAAUGUGAGUGAUCAUGGGGAACACGACAGUUGACUCUUUCGAUGGAACAACGCUUGGAAAAGAAUGUAGGGCUAACAUGAGUAUGCCACGUAGUCAUGCCC
rnacentral:lncRNA from 1 species